GAUGAACGCUGGCGGCGUGCCUAACACAUGCAAGUCGAACGCUCGCAAGAGAGUGGCGCACGGGUGAGUAACACGUAGCUAAUCUGCCCUCAAGACAAGGAUAACUGUAGGAAACUACUGCUAAUACUUGAUAAGCUUACGGACUGUAGAGGUCUAUAAGAAAGAUUUAUCGCUUGAGGAUGAGGCUGCGCGCCAUCAGCUAGUUGGUAAGGUAAUGGCUUACCAAGGCGACGACGGCUAGGGGACCUGAGAGGGUGACCCCCCACACUGGGACUGAGACACGGCCCAGACUCCUACGGGAGGCAGCAGUGAGGAAUAUUGCUCAAUGGGGCGCAAGCCUGAAGCAGCGACGCCGCGUGGAUGAAGAAGGUUUUCGGACUGUAAAAUCCUUUUCUGUGUGACGAGAGUGGACGGUAGCACAGGAAUAAGUCUCGGCUAACUACGUGCCAGCAGCCGCGGUAAU
rnacentral:rRNA from 1 species